rnacentral:rRNA from 1 species
GAUGAACGCUGGCGGCGUGCCUAAUACAUGCAAGUCGAGCGAACGGACGAGAAGCUUGCUUCUCUGAUGUUAGCGGCGGACGGGUGAGUAACACGUGGAUAACCUACCUAUAAGACUGGGAUAACUUCGGGAAACCGUAGCUAAUACCGGAUAAUAUUUUGAACCGCAUGGUUCAAAAGUGAAAGACGGUCUUGCUGUCACUUAUAGAUGGAUCCGCGCUGCAUUAGCUAGUUGGUAAGGUAACGGCUUACCAAGGCAACGAUGCAUAGCCGACCUGAGAGGGUGAUCGGCCACACUGGAACGGAGACAGGGUCAAGACUCCUACGGGAGGCAGCAGUAGGGAAUCUUCCGCAAUGGGCGAAAGCCUGACGGAGCAACGCCGCGUGAGUGAUGAAGGUCUUCGGAUCGUAAAACUCUGUUAUUAGGGAAGAACAGAUGUGUAAGUAACUGUGCACAUCUUGACGGUACCUAAUCAGAAAGCCACGGCUAACUACGUG